ACUUGCAGAGCCUCACAUCUGUUGUGUCAGAGCACCUGGGGAGGUGGGGCAGUCACAGAGGAGACACAGCUGCUGCAUCAGGCAGGAACUUCUCACCACUGUCUCCUGUCCUUGAGUCAUCAGGUGUAAGUGAUCUUCAUCGUAUUUUUAGCAACAGGCCCAGCUCAUGACUCAGAGCAGGACUAACUUACGCAGAACCACAUCCCACUGUAAAGCACUAGAACGAGGCCCAAAUUAUGUACUCACAUCAUUACAGAAGUCAGACAACUUUCUGCAAGUUAAGCGAUUAAAAGGUGCACAUCUCUGACACAUGAAAACUCUGAACUCAGCAUCAAAAGAUGACUGAAACAUAGUCUGCAAUAAUUCUCAGCUAUCUUUUUUUGCAAGGCAUCCUACCCAUCAAUAAUACUUGCUCUGUGGUAAGUUCAGCCCACAGAUAAGGAAAUAAAUCAGACGGAAGGACACGAAAAGUAAUUUUUAUUCCAAAUGUUAAUUUUAUCCUUAUUUCAAAAUAAAUUCUCAAUACAUUACCAUAAUAGAUUUCUGCAUCUAUUAGCAUUAUACAUGUGCAAGACAAGUAUCAAUCUCUGUCCCUGGGGAGCCGAAUUCUGUCACUUAA